UCAGUCGGCCGGACGGCCGCUUGGUGCCAAUGCCGAAAGGCGGCCCUGAGAGGAAAGUCCGGGCUCCAUGGACAUGCGGUGCCGGAUAACGUCCGGCGGAAGUAAUUCCAGGGAAAGUGCCACAGAAAGCAAACCGCCCGAUCCCGCGAGGGUGACGGCAAGGGUGAAACGGUGCGGUAAGAGCGCACCGCGCUUCCGGCAACGGAAGCGGCACGGCAAACCCCACCGGGAGCAAGACCGAAUAGGGGCGGCGCGGGAGCAAUCCCGGGAUCUGUGUCCGGAUCCUGCCGUCCGGGUAGGUUGCUGGAGGCGCCGGGCAACCGGCGUCCCAGAGGAAUGGCCGUCGCGCGCAGCGAGCAAAAGCGCGUUCACGCGCGUCUCGCGCAAUACUGCGCCCUACAGAACCCGGCUUACAGGCCGGCUGAUAUG
rnacentral:RNase_P_RNA from 1 species